GACAGAGGGGGCAAGCGUUGCUCGGAAUCACUGGGCGUAAAGGGCGCGUAGGCGGGAUGGCAAGUCGGUCGUGAAAUCUCUCGGCUCAACCGAGAAACGUCGGCCGAUACUGCCGUUCUUGAGGGAUGCAGAGGAGACUGGAAUUCCCGGUGUAGCGGUGAAAUGUGUAGAGAUCGGGAGGAACACCGGUGGCGAAGGCGGGUCUCUGGGCAUUUCCUGACGCUGAGGCGCGACAGCGUGGGGAGCAAACAGG
rnacentral:rRNA from 1 species